rnacentral:rRNA from 1 species
UGGGGAAUAUUGGGCAAUGGGCGAAAGCCUGACCCAGCGACGUCGCGUGAAGGAAGCAGGCCCUCGGGUUGUAAACUUCAGUCAACAGGGAAGAAACAAAUGACGGUACCUGUGGAGGAAGCCACGGCUAACUACGUGCCAGCAGCCGCGGUAAUACGUAGGUGGCGAGCGUUAUCCGGAUUUACUGGGUGUAAAGGGUGUGUAGGCGGGUCUGCAAGUCAGAUGUGAAAACUAUGGGCUUAACUCAUAGCUUGCAUUUGAAACUGUGGAUCUUGAGUGUCGGAGAGGUAAAUGGAAUUCCCAGUGUAGCGGUGAAAUGCGUAGAUAUUGGGAGGAACACCAGUGGCGAAGGCGGUUUACUGGACGAUUACUGACGCUGAGACACGAAAGUGUGGGGAGCAAACAGGAUUAGAUACCCUGGUAGU